UACGUAGGGCGCAAGCGUUGUCCGGAAUUAUUGGGCGUAAAGAGCUCGUAGGCGGUUUGUCGCGUCUGCUGUGAAAACCUAAGGCUCAACCUUGGGCUUGCAGUGGGUACGGGCAGACUAGAGUGCGGUAGGGGUGACUGGAAUUCCUGGUGUAGCGGUGAAAUGCGUAGAUAUCUGGAGGAACACCGGUGGCGAAGGCGGCAUCCUGGACCGGCAUUGACGCUGAGGAGCGAAAAGCCAGG
rnacentral:rRNA from 1 species